rnacentral:rRNA from 1 species
AACGAACGCUGGCGGCAUGCCUAACACAUGCAAGUCGAACGAGAUCCUUCGGGGUCUAGUGGCGCACGGGUGCGUAACGCGUGGGAAUCUGCCCUUAGGUUCGGAAUAACAGUUAGAAAUGACUGCUAAUACCGGAUGAUGACGUUAAGUCCAAAGAUUUAUCGCCUGAGGAUGAGCCCGCGUAGGAUUAGCUAGUUGGUGUGGUAAAGGCGCACCAAGGCGACGAUCCUUAGCUGGUCUGAGAGGAUGAUCAGCCACACUGGGACUGAGACACGGCCCAGAAUCCUACGGGAGGCAGCAGUGGGGAAUAUUGGACAAUGGGCGCAAGCAUGAUCCAGCAAUGCCGCGUGAGUGAUGAAGGCCUUAGGGUUGUAAAGCUCUUUUACACGGGAUGAUAAUGACAGUACCGGGAGAAUAAGCCCCGGCUAACUCCGUG